rnacentral:rRNA from 1 species
UGGGGAAUAUUGCACAAUGGGGGAAACCCUGAUGCAGCGACGCCGCGUGGAGGAAGAAGGUCUUCGGAUUGUAAACUCCUGUUGUUGAGGAAGAUAAUGACGGUACUCAACAAGGAAGUGACGGCUAACUACGUGCCAGCAGCCGCGGUAAAACGUAGGUCACAAGCGUUGUCCGGAAUUACUGGGUGUAAAGGGAGCGCAGGCGGGAGAACAAGUUGGAAGUGAAAUCUAUGGGCUCAACCCAUAAACUGCUUUCAAAACUGUUUUUCUUGAGUAGUGCAGAGGUAGGCGGAAUUCCCGGUGUAGCGGUGGAAUGCGUAGAUAUUAGGAGGAACAUCAGUGGCGAAGGCGGCUUACUGGGCUUUAACUGACGCUGAGGCUCGAAAGCGUGGGGAGCAAACAGGAUUAGAUACCCUGGUAGUCCACGCCGUAAACGAUGAUUACUAGGUGUUGGAGGAUUGACCCCUUCAGUGCCGCAGUUAACACAAUAAGUAAUCCACCUGGGGAGUACGACCGCAAGGUUGAAACUCAAAGGAAUUGACGGGGGCCCGCACAAGCAGUGGAGUAUGUGGUUUAAUUCGACGCAACGCGAAGAACCUUACCAAGUCUUGACAUCCCUUGACAGGCAUAGAAAUAUGUUUUCUCUUCGGAGCAAGGAGACAGGUGGUGCAUGGUUGUCGUCAGCUCGUGUCGUGAGAUGUUGGGUUAAGUCCCGCAACGAGCGCAACCCUUAUGGUCAGUUACUACGCAAGAGGACUCUGGCCAGACUGCCGUUGACAAAACGGAGGAAGGUGGGGAUGACGUCAAAUCAUCAUGCCCUUUAUGACUUGGGCUACACACGUACUACAAUGACGUUAAACAAAGAGAAGCAAGACCGCGAGGGGGAGCAAAACUCAGAAACAACGUCCCAGUUCGGACUGCAGGCUGCAACUCGCCUGCAGGAAGUCGGAAUUGCUAGUAAUCGUGGAUCAGCAUGCCACGGUGAAUACGUUCCC